CAAACCCAGUCCUGCAGAGUAUCAUGCUCACUUGGGAGGAACAGAACUGCUUCUCUUUUUGAGCCUUUUCCAGGCUGAGCAAUCCUAGCUCAUCCAACUUCUCACAUGACACAUUCCAGACUCAAUAAUUUUUGUAGCUCUUUGCUGGACUCAAUUCUGUAGUGGAGAGGCCAGAACUGAACUCAGAACUCCAGAUAUGUCUCUAUAAGACUAACAGAGGGGGGAAGGAUUAUGGCCGCCUACUUGCCAACAAUGCUCAGCUCAACGUGACACAGGAGACCAUCAGCCUUCUUAGC
rnacentral:lncRNA from 1 species